rnacentral:rRNA from 1 species
UACGAAGGGGACUAGCGUUGUUCGGAAUCACUGGGCGUAAAGCGCACGUAGGCGGACUCUUAAGUCGGUGGUGAAAUCCUGGAGCUCAACUCCAGAACUGCCUUCGAUACUGAGAGUCUCGAGUCCGGGAGAGGUGAGUGGAACUGCGAGUGUAGAGGUGAAAUUCGUAGAUAUUCGGAGGAACACCAGUGGCGAAGGCGGCUCACUGGCUCGGUACUGACGCUGAGGUGCGAAAGCGUGGGGGAGCAAACAGG